AGUUUGAUCAUGGCUCAGAACGUACGCUGGCGGCACGCCUAAUACAUGCAAGUCGAACGAAGUAGCAAUACUUAGUGGCAGACGGGUGAGUAACAUGUGGGUAUCUUCCCUUUGGUGAGGAAUAACACGAGGAAACUUGUGCUAAUACCUCAUAAGUCUUUACAGAGAAAGCUUNNGCGCCAUUGGAUGAGCCUGCACUUGAUUAGUUUGUUGGUGGGGUAAUGGCCUACCAAGACAAUGAUCAAUAGCUGAUUUGAGAGGAUGAUCAGCCACAUUGGGACUGAGACACGGCCCAAACUCCUACGGGAGGCAGCAGUAGGGAAUCUUGCACAAUGGAGGAAACUCUGAUGCAGCGAUGCCGCGUGAGUGAAGAAGGCCUUUGGGUUGUAAAGCUCUUUCGUCGGGGAAGAAAAUGACUGUACCCGAAUAAGAAGGUCCGGCUAACUUCGUGCCAGCAGCCGCGGUAAUACGAAGGGACCUAGCGUAGUUCGGAAUUACUGGGCUUAAAGAGUUCGUAGGUGGUUAAAAAAGUUGGUGGUGAAAUCCCAGAGCUUAACUCUGGAACUGCCAUCAAAACUUUUUAGCUAGAGUAUGAUAGAGGAAAGCAGAAUUUCUAGUGUAGAGGUGAAAUUCGUAGAUAUUAGAAAGAAUACCAAUUGCGAAGGCAGCUUUCUGGAUCAUUACUGACACUGAGGAACGAAAGCAUGGGUAGCGAAGAGGAUUAGAUACCCUCGUAGUCCAUGCCGUAAACGAUGUGUGUUAGACGUUGGAAAUUUAUUUUUCAGUGUCGCAGCGAAAGCAAUAAACACACCGCCUGGGGAGUACGACCGCAAGGUUAAAACUCAAAUGAAUUGACGGGGACCCGCACAAGUAGUGGAGCAUGUGGUUUAAUUCGAAGAUACGCGCAGAACCUUACCAACACUUGACAUGUUCGUCGCGACUCUAAGAGAUUAGAGUUUUCGGUUCGGCCGGACGAAACACAGGUGCUGCAUGGCUGUCGUCAGCUCGUGUCGUGAGAUGUUGGGUUAAGUCCCGCAACGAGCGCAACCCUUACUUUUAGUUGCCAUCAUUUAGUUGGGCACUCUGAAAGAACUGCCAGUGAUAAGCUGGAGGAAGGUGGGGAUGACGUCAAGUCCUCAUGGCCCUUACGUGUUGGGCUACACACGUGCUACAAUGGUAUCUACAACAGGAAGCAAAACAGCGAUGUUAAGCAAAUCCCGAAAAGAUACCUCAGUUCGGAUUGCACUCUGCAACUCGAGUGCAUGAAGCUGGAAUUACUAGUAAUCGUGGAUCAGCGUGCCACGGUGAAUACGUUCCCGGGUCUUGUACACACCGCCCGUCACACCAUGGGAGUUGGUUCUACCUUAAGGCAAGGUUUAAAACCCUUGACCACGGUAUAGUCAGCGAU
rnacentral:rRNA from 1 species